CCCACCCUAGGAGUGGCCUCCUUAUAGGACACUUGAAAUAUUUGUCAUAGUUACCUAAUGGCUGUUGAUGCCUCCCCCACCUCUGGCCCAUCCAGGAUCACAGCUCUGGGCUGGAAAGAAGCAUAGAGGUCAAUCAGUCCAAUCCCCUCAUUUUACAGCAAGCAGUUAUAAGGGAACUGAUAUGUGCAAGAAAUCUUCUGGGAAGAAAAAAGACAGAAGAAAACCUAAAACAGCCUCAAGAAACUUGUAUUCGGUUGUGGAUGAAGAAGGCCUGGCUGGGGAGGGGGGUGUUGCUGGGCAUAGGGGAAGAAUGCUACAAGUGAAAGAUAAAUGGACACAAGUCAUGUUGUAA
rnacentral:lncRNA from 1 species